rnacentral:tRNA from 1 species
GCGGCCGUCGUCUAGUCUGGAUUAGGACGCUGGCCUCCCAUGUAAAGGGGAGAGCCAGUAAUCCCGGGUUCAAAUCCCGGCGGCCGCA